UAAUCUAACCUGUUCUGCAGGACUACCACAGCAACGUUAGGAGUUCAUCCACGGACUGCUACACAGGAGAAACAAUUAAUCCAACACAAUCCUGUGAUUUAUUUUAACCAAUGGCAUAACCGGCAUGACAUCAUGUUGCUGAAGCUUCAGAGACCAGUAAGAAAUAUCCGUCCUGUUCGGCUACCAAGAUGCAAUAAUCGUCUUACGAUUGGUGCUACAGUUCAGCUGGCAGGAGAAGGAC